rnacentral:lncRNA from 1 species
CCCUGCUCGGAGGAGGCCCCGUGGCCCUCCUGGGCCCCCUCGGAGGUUAGCUGUGUAAUUACUGCAUCCAUACAAAUACAGAUUCAUCAUUUCACACUCUGAGCCCCUGAUGAGCUUGGCUGAGCUGAAAGUGAGGAAGGGAGGUGCAUGUGCGCGGGCAUGUGUGCGUGUGUGAGUCCUAGUGAUUUAAUUACAGUGCUUAAAGCCACUCUGGCUAAGUGAUGCUCCUUUUCGUCUCUUUCUAGCACCAGGAGGGCUUUACUCCUGAACCUCAAAGCUGUUUUCCUAAACACACAUUAGGACGCGCUCCCGCCGCCGCUGCGUGUGUGUGCGUCACGCGCGGAGGAGAGCGGAUGCUUCAUCUCCAUGGCAUUUUAAAUGGCAUUCACGGAGGGCGGCUUCGUCCUCAUUGCCAAGGUGAGGGCUGCGGCUUAAAAGCUUUCCAUCAUUGGCUGAAGAUGGAAGAAAAAGACAAUGUUGAACAAAAUUCCUGCGGAGAAAAAGCCCAUUUUCUCCUCCUGCUCAUUACAGAAAGACUUGGUGGGGGGGCUUUUCUCCUGGCCAUGGAUCUGAUUGUUUUCUAAACAGAUUAUUAACUCUUUUGUUAGAGUCGGGGUCACUUUAAUGCUUCUCAGGCUCCAUUAGCAUUGCUUCAAAGAACACACACACGCAGACUGCUAUAGGAUUUGCAGUUUUUGGUCUUUGUUGUUGGGAGUGGAAUGAUACAGUUGUAAUGCUGUGAAAGACAAUACUUGAAUUGAAAGGGGGGUGGGGGGGGGGGGGGGGGGUUGCAGGCACUGCUGAGCAUGUGUGUGGUUUGUGAUGAAAAGGGCGUCUCAUACAGACCAGGGAGCUUAAUGCAGUAAUGCUGACUUCAAUGGACACCCCAAUGAAAGCGGAAUUAAACAGACCUUUCCACCAAAAUCCAGACAAACCCUGAUCUUCUCCACCUCCGUCAAACCAACAGGGUCAUUGGAAAACAUAAAACCACAAAAUAGUCCCCCUAUUUUUGAUUUGUAGCAUUUGCUUCCUGCUCAUCAAACCAGAGACAAUCAAAGGAAAAAUGACCCCCCUUUGGGAAAAGUUCAGGUCAAAGCAAUCAGAAGUCUUUGCUCUUGGCUCAGAUUGACCCAUUGAAUUUAAAAGACAACUGGACUGAGCGGCUGUAACGUCAUCCUGAGCUCCUGAGAUUCAGUUUUCCAUUUUUCUGCUAUAUGGAUGUCGCCAUUCAAUAAUGCAAAGUAGUUUUCUAUUCUCUAUUGACAUUCAAUUUGCAAUACAAGCUGCAACAGAUGCCGCCGCAGUCAUAAACAUAGAAGAUACUUCAUAAGCUGAUAGCUUCUUCUCUUCCUUAACCUCCCAUGUCAAAUGAUUCUAUUAGUGGGUUGAGUAUUUAUUAUACUUUUAUCAGCCAACCGGAAGGAAGUGAAGGUGGAGCUUAGCGUAUUCAGGCACAAA